GAGGGUAUAGCUCAGUGGUGGGUGGGUGCCUAGCAUGCACAGGGUCCUGGGUUCAAUCCCCAGGACCUCCA
rnacentral:tRNA from 1 species